rnacentral:rRNA from 1 species
AGGACAAACGCUGGCGGCGUGCCUAAGACAUGCAAGUCGGACGGGAGGCUUCGGCCUCUAGUGGCGGACGGGUGAGGAGCGCGUGGAGAACCUGCCCCGGGGUGGGGGAUACCCGCCAGAAAUGGCGGUUAAGACCGCAUACGAAUGCACCGUGCAGGCGGUGUAGGGAAAGCAGUGAUGUGCCCUGGGAGGGCUCCGCGUCGGAUUAGCUGGUUGGUGGGGUAACGGCCUACCAAGGCGACGAUCCGUAGCUGGUCUGAGAGGACGGCCAGCCACACUGGGACUGAGACACGGCCCAGACUCCUACGGGAGGCAGCAGUUAGGGAAUUUUGACAAUGGGCGCAAGCCUGAUCGAGUGACGCCGCGUGCGGGAUGACGCCUUUCGGGUGUAAACCGCUUUUCCCAGGGACGAGGAGGGACGGUACCUGGGGAAGAAGUCUCGGCUAACUACGUGCCAGCAGCCGC